AACGCACCUUGCGCUCCUCGGCAUUCCGAGGAGCAUGCCUGUUUGAGCGUCGUUGAACUCUCAGAAUCCCACCCGAUCUUUCUGUCAUUGAAGGAUCGGGGAGGGGAGGUAGUUGGCUUGGCCUUGGCCCAGGGCCAGUCAUGCUGCUACUUCCUGUCACGUGGGGUGUGGAUUGUGGAGGAUGCAAUGCCGCCCCAAUUGGGGAUGCUUCGCUUCUCUGAAAUGGAUUGGCGUUAAGCCUGCGGUCACGAACCUGGCGCCGAUAUGAUACAAUCGUCUUACCUGCACCUAAUCCGUGCGAGCCGCGUCUAACAAUUUGACCUCAAAUCAGGCAGGACUACCCGCUGAACUUAA
rnacentral:misc_RNA from 1 species